rnacentral:rRNA from 1 species
UACGGGGGGAGCAAGCGUUGUUCGGAUUUACUGGGCGUAAAGGGCGCGUAGGCGGCCACCGCAAGUCACUUGUGAAAUCUCCGGGCUUAACUCGGAACGGUCAAGUGAUACUGUCGGACUAGAGUACAGAAGGGGCAACUGGAAUUCUCGGUGUAGCGGUGAAAUGCGUAGAUAUCGAGAGGAACACCUGCGGCGAAGGCGGGUUGCUGGGCUGAUACUGACGCUGAGGCGCGAAAGCCGGGAGCGAACGGG